GUCACAUCUCAAAAUGUAUGAGAGAAAAUCCUGCCUCAGCUGGAAAUUCUACCUGGAACCUAAGGCUUACUAAGCCGCCACCGUACUAGUAAACCACUGAGGCAAGACUUUCUAUCCAAGAAUUUCAUUCUGUCAAAGUGGUGACUUUUGUCCACUGUUUUAUUUUUGACUUAACUCCAAAAAAAAAAAAAAAUCGACCACUCGUUCUCUUCCUGGAUUUGAAACUUUUUCUCACCAUCUGUCUACUUUCCCAAGAAUCUUUGAAAGUUUAUUCAGAUCUGCGAUUAAUGCGACGACGUUCAUGUUCAUACAAUGUUGACCUCUCUCAUUUGCUGUUGUUUAAUUACACGGUCAAACAUAAAUCUCGACAGAUCGAUUGUUUUAAA
rnacentral:lncRNA from 1 species